rnacentral:lncRNA from 1 species
CCUACCUUUCCUCUCGUGAUUCCAAGAGCGAUCUGGGCAUGUACUCUGGGGUAAUGUUUUUUAGCUCUGUGUGUAUUCUGCACCACAGAAAGGAACACACUUUUAUUCAAGCUCCUGGCCUGCCCUAACAUGGUCUACAAGUGGAAUAAAGUUCUCAGGAACCCAAGACAUUAUUAAUCUUGUCAUUUACACAAGGUGAUAAGUCCUUUCAUUUUUAAACAGGCCCUUGACAGUUG